AGCGGACGCUGGCGGCAGGCUUAACACAUGCAAGUCGAGCGCCCCGCAAGGGGAGCGGCAGACGGGAGAGUAACACGUGGGAACAUACCUUUUGGUUCGGAACAACUGAGGGAAACUUCAGCUAAUACCGGAUAAGCCCUUACGGGGAAAGAUUUAUCGCCGAAAGAUUGGCCCGCGUCUGAUUAGCUAGUUGGUGAGGUAACGGCUCACCAAGGCGACGAUCAGUAGCUGGUCUGAGAGGAUGAUCAGCCUCACUGGGACUGAGACACGGCCCAGACUCCUACGGGAGGCAGCAGUGGGGAAUAUUGGACAAUGGGGGCAACCCUGAUCCAGCCAUGCCGCGUGAGUGAUGAAGGCCUUAGGGUUGUAAAGCUCUUUUGCCCGGGAAGAUAAUGACGGUACCGGGAGAAUAAGCCCCGGCUAACUUCGUG
rnacentral:rRNA from 1 species